UACGGAGGGGGCUAGCGUUGUCCGAAGUUACUGGGCGUAAAGCGCGCGUAGGCGGGUUGGUAAGUCCGCUGUGAAAGCCCGGAGCUCAACUCCGGAGGGUCGGUGGAUACUGCCAGUCUUGAAGGUGCUAGGGGGAGAUGGAAUUACCGGUGUAGCGGUGAAAUGCGUAGAUAUCAGGAAGAACACCGGUGGCGAAGGCGGCUCUCUGGGCCUUACCUGACGCUGAGGAGCGAAAGCGUGGGUAGCGAACAGG
rnacentral:rRNA from 1 species